rnacentral:rRNA from 1 species
UACGAAGGGGGCUAGCGUUGCUCGGAAUCACUGGGCGUAAAGGGCGCGUAGGCGGCCAUUCAAGUCAGGGGUGAAAGCCUGUGGCUCAACCACAGAAUUGCCUUUGAUACUGUUUGGCUAGAGACCGGAAGAGGUAAGUGGAACUGCGAGUGUAGAGGUGAAAUUCGUAGAUAUUCGGAAGAACACCAGUGGCGAAGGCGACUUACUGGACACAUAUUGACGCUGAGGUGCGAAAGCGUGGGGAGCAAACAGG